UACGUAGGGUGCGAGCGUUGUCCGGAAUUAUUGGGCGUAAAGAGCUCGUAGGCGGCUUGUCGCGUCGGAUGUGAAAGCCCGGGGCUUAACUCCGGGUCUGCAUUCGAUACGGGCAGGCUAGAGUUCGGUAGGGGAGAUCGGAAUUCCUGGUGUAGCGGUGAAAUGCGCAGAUAUCAGGAGGAACACCGGUGGCGAAGGCGGCUCUCUAGUACGGUACUGACGCUGAGACGCGAAAGCGUGGGGAGCGAACAGG
rnacentral:rRNA from 1 species